AAACAAAAAAAAAUCCUUCCCCAAAAUAAAAUGUCUGAUACGAAAACCCUAUCUCUUUCUUUUCCAAGCCACUCUCCCCUCUCACUCUUUUCUGAUCCCUCUCGUUCUCUCUCUCCUGCUCGAAACACCGGCAGCUGGGGGCUUCAACUACGACGGCGAGGGGCUAUAUGAGGCUUCAACAACGGUGGAGGUCAAUUGGGGUGACAGAGGCUCAGCGGGACUGUUGGAUGCUUGACGACGGGGACUCGGAGAUUCGUUGGUGCAGGUAAAGAUCUCUCUCUCUCUGUAGUUGACCGAUGACUGGGCUGCAUGGGCUGGAGAUGGUGGUGCGACGGGGUGCCAUGGGUGUUCAGUCCACGGCUCGGUGUGGUGUUGUCUUCUCUAAAGCCGACCACACUCCUCUAGUCGACGGUACACCGACACUCCUCGAGCCGUGCGAAGCCGCCGCUCGCGACCGUUAUUGGCCCCAAGGUAAGGGAGUUGAUAGCUGGACUAGCCAAGAAUUGGAGAGCUUCAAGGGCGGUGUGUACAUAUCCAACCUGCUCAAUCGCCACGAUUGGGAUAGCUUGAGAGGAACUAGGUUUAAACCCUGUUUUUUCCGCUUAUGUUGGCCAUAUUGUGCCUGAUUAUCUUUUACAACUUUGUAACUUGAAUUUUGGGACCCCGUAUAAAAACUUAAUAUUUUAAUGAAAAAUAAUCAUUUUGUUGA